AAUGAACGCUGGCGGCGUGGUUAAGACAUGCAAGUCGAACGGUUUUUGUUGAAGGGCAACUGGAUACAAAAGCAGUGGCGAACGGGUGCGUAACACGUGAACAAUCUACCUCCAAGUGGGGAAUAGCUCGUCGAAAGGCGAAUUAAUACCGCAUGUGGUCGAAGCUCGCAUGAGCAUCGAACCAAAGUCAGGGACCGCAAGGCCUGACGCUAGGAGAGGAGUUCGCGGCCUAUCAGCUAGUUGGCGAGGU
rnacentral:rRNA from 1 species